rnacentral:rRNA from 1 species
UAGGGAAUCUUCGGCAAUGGGGGGAACCCUGACCGAGCAACGCCGCGUGAGUGAAGAAGGUUUUCGGAUCGUAAAGCUCUGUUGUUAAGGAAGAACGAGUGUGAGAAUGGAAAGUUCAUACUGUGACGGUAUCUAACCAGAAAGCCACGGCUAACUACGUGCCAGCAGCCGCGGUAAUACGUAGGUGGCAAGCGUUGUCCGGAUUGAUUGGGCGUAAAGCGAGCUCAGGCGGUAUAUUAAGUCUGAUGUGAAAGCCCCCGGCUCAACCGGGGAGGCUCAUUGGAAACUGGGUGACGUGAGUGGAGAAGAGGAGAGUGGAUUUCCAUGUGUAGCGGUGAAGUGCGUAGAUAGAUGGAGGAACACGAGUGGCGAAGGCGACUCUCUGGUCUGUAACUGACGCUGAGGCUCGAGAGCGUGGGUAGCAAACAGG